AGGCUGAGAGGCCACCCAUAUAAUGCAGUCGAAGCCAAACAGCUUAGGAGCUUGCUCCUCUUAAGUUAGCGCCGAUACGGCGCAGUAACACUCUGUUAACCAUACCUAUAACAUUUUUAAAUUUUCAAGAAACCGGAUCUAAUACCGAAUAACAUUUAGAACCGCAUGCUCUAAAGUUAAAGAUGCUUUUGCUAUCACUCAUAGAUGGACCCCCCCGUACUCCCCAGUUUUCAAGGUAGCGACCUACUAAGCCGACCAUUCGAAUCCCAUCUGUGAGGCUCACCGCCCACACUGAAACUGAGCCAUGAUCAAACUCUAUACGGGAGGCAGCAGUAGGGAAUCUUCCGCAAUGGGCGAAAGCCUGACGGAGCAACGCCGCCGUGAGUAAUGAAGGGUUUCGGCCUCGUAAAAACUCUGUUAUUAGGGGAAGAACAAAUGUGUAAAGUAACUGUGCACAUCUUGACGGUACCUAAUCAGAAAGCCACGGCUAACUACGUGCCAUCAGCCGCGGUAAUACGUAGGUGGCAAGCGUUAUCCGGGAAUUAUUUGGGCGUAAGGCGCGCGUAGACGGUUUUCUUAAGUCUGAUGUGAAAGCCCACGGCUCAACCGUGGAGGGUCAUUGUAAACUGGGGAAACUUGAGUGCAGAAGAGGAAAGUGGAAUUCCAUGGUUGGCGUUGAAAUGCGCAAGAGAUAUGGAGUAACACCAGUUGCGAAGGCGACUUUUCUGGCCUGGAACUGACGCUGAAUGGGCCAAAACCUGGGGGAUCAAACAGGGAUAAGAAACCCUUGGUAGGCCCACGCCGUUAAACGAUUUAUGGCCAAGGCGUUAAGGGGGUUUCCGUACCCUUAAGGGCCUUCGGCUUAAGCCA
rnacentral:rRNA from 1 species